GUGUAUGCACACAAUAGUUAAUGUAGACCAUCUUUUGUGUAUAUAUAACUCUGAUAAUCAAUGAAAUGAAUUCAUUCUCCCAGUUUUCUCUUUACCAUGAUACUAACUUAUCAAAAAAUUACCUGGGUUCCAUGACCACUCGUAAACUCUAUUUAUCAGUAGUAAUCAAACUCGGUACUCUAAAAUUUACAACACUCGUAUACAAUGCAAUAACCACUUGCGGUAGACCUUGUGGUACAUCGAUGAUCGAUCCUAAUAAAAGUACGCUGUAUACUAUUAUUAUAUACUAUAUACUAUUACUAAUAAAAGCUAAAGCAGAUUAAUAUUCAUUCCAAAAACUAACAUAAGCUUCACAAAAGUAGUCAACAUGAUAAAAUUAAAUACACAGGUAAAUUGUUUAGCAUUUGUCACAUAAAUAAAUGUGAUCAUAAGUACAUGCAUUACAUACGAAAUUAAUGAAGCACCAUCCCUUACACAUCAUAAGGUUGCUUACCAGUGAACUUAACCUCAAUUGGGCUAACAUUCUUCCCAAUAGACCUGAAAUUCUGACCGACCCCUUGACGACCGGGGUUAACCUUCUCUGGAUAAACACCAUCCUUAGGAUGCAAAUAUUGAACCUCCCCAUUAGGGAAAACCCUGUAAAACUGAUACUUAAUCUUGUACUUUGAUCUUAAUCUAGUUCCUAAAGCCAAACACUGUUCUUUCCUAGCCAAUUUAAGAAGAUUAGGACCUUCCCUCAUUAUAGCAGCACCACCAGUUGGCAUUUCAAAGAUUUGUUCUUUAGGUGAUUCCCAUGUGAUUACAUAGAAUUCUUCAACUUGGGCCUUACGCAAUAAUCCACCA
rnacentral:lncRNA from 1 species